UUCCAGACUCCUACGGGAGGCAGCAGUGGGGAAUAUUGCACAAUGGGGGAAACCCUGAUGCAGCGACGCCGCGUGAGUGAAGAAGUAUUUCGGUAUGUAAAGCUCUAUCAGCAGGGAAGAAAAUGACGGUACCUGACUAAGAAGCCCCGGCUAACUACGUGCCAGCAGCCGCGGUAAUACGUAGGGGGCAAGCGUUAUCCGGAUUUACUGGGUGUAAAGGGAGCGUAGACGGCGAUGCAAGCCAGAUGUGAAAGCCCGGGGCUCAACCCCGGGACUGCAUUUGGAACUGUGUGGCUGGAGUGUCGGAGAGGCAGGCGGAAUUCCUAGUGUAGCGGUGAAAUGCGUAGAUAUUAGGAGGAACACCAGUGGCGAAGGCGGCCUGCUGGACGAUGACUGACGUUGAGGCUCGAAAGCGUGGGGAGCAAACAGGAUUAGAUACCCCUGUAC
rnacentral:rRNA from 1 species